rnacentral:rRNA from 1 species
UACGUAGGGUGCGAGCGUCGUCCGGAAUUAUUGGGCGUAAAGAGCUCGUAGGCGGUGUGUCACGUCGGCCGUGAAAACCUGGGGCUUAACUCUGGGCGUGCGGUCGAUACGGGCAUCACUAGAGUUCGGCAGGGGAGACUGGAAUUCCUGGUGUAGCGGUGAAAUGCGCAGAUAUCAGGAGGAACACCGGUGGCGAAGGCGGGUCUCUGGGCCGAUACUGACGCUGAGGAGCGAAAGCAUGGGUAGCGAACAGG